GCAGGGGUAGCAAAGCCUGGUCAAAUGCGACGGGUUCAGGGCUCGUUCCUUUAGGGGUUCAAGGGUUCAAAUCCCUUCCCCUGCA
rnacentral:tRNA from 1 species